AUACAUGGCAGGGUGUGUAAUGUUUUCUUUAUUGAUUUAAUGUAAAUUUUAUGCAUUAUUUUUAAAAAAUUUUUAUCAUUGUGCACUUCUUCUCUAUAUUCUCUAUAAGUGUGAGACAUUUCAUACUCCACCGUCCGCGCAAUUUUCGUAAAAAGGGAUACAAAGUUUUUGCUUCACGUAUUAAUAUUACUAGAAUAUUUUAAGGUAUUCAAAACAGAAUAACGUCAGUCAGUCAUGCAAUGUUAUGAAAACGUAACAACACAAUGACAUCGUUGGAUACGCUCCAACGACAGAGCCUCUUUUACGAAAGAAACAUUCAAAGGCGAACGAGGAGAUUUAAAACGUGAUCAAAACAUCAAACGAACAAGAUCGCUUCGGUCCAGUGAUUUUGUCCAGACGAUUUGUCUUCGUACAAUGCUAUACAUUAAAAUGUUGCAGUUUGGUACAAUGAUUUAUGAAUUCAAUUAUUAUAUAUUUCUGUAAUUAAGUUUAUUAAUUAGGAAAAAAGAAUUGGUUGCACUAUUGGUUCACUGGUGCUAGGACCUCUUGGGAGUCCGCACGGGUAGGUACCACCAUCCCGCCUAUUUUCGCCGUGAUGCGUUUCGGUUCGGGUGGGGUAGACGUUGUAACUAUACUGAGACCUUAGAACUUAUAUCUCAAGAUGGGCGGCGCAUUUACGUUGUAGAUGUUUAUGGACUUCAGUAACCACUUAACAUCAGGUGGACUGUGAGCUCGUCCAUCCAUCUAAGCAAUAAAAAUAAAAAACAAUAUUAAAAAA